rnacentral:tRNA from 1 species
GAGGUUGUAGCUCAGUGGUAGAGUGCUUGCCUAGCACACAUGAGGCCCUGGGUUUGAUCCUCAGCACCACA